GUUGUGGUAUGGACCAGACAGGUUGAAGUACUUAGGACCCUUUUCAGCUCAGACUCCAUCAUACCUGACUGGAGAAUUUCCAGGUGACUAUGGAUGGGACACUGCUGGUUUGUCAGCUGAUCCUGAGGCCUUCGCCAGGAACAGGGCUCUUGAGGUGAUCCACGGAAGAUGGGCUAUGCUUGGAGCACUAGGCUGCAUCACACCAGAAGUACUAGAGAAAUGGGUUAGAGUGGACUUCAAGGAACCAGUAUGGUUCAAAGCUGGAGCUCAGAUCUUCUCAGAGGGUGGCUUGGACUACUUGGGCAAUCCUAACCUUGUCCAAGCACUGCUAGGAUGCUUUGUGC
rnacentral:misc_RNA from 1 species